GAGGGUAUAGCUCAGUGAUAGAGUGCAUGCCCAGCACACACGAGGUCCUGGGUUCGGUCCCCAGUACCUCCA
rfam:Camelus ferus unplaced genomic scaffold scaffold2244, whole genome shotgun sequence.